CGGAACAACACAGCACUGGAGAAAGUAGAUCCAUCCAGCGAGCAAAGGCCAGCCGAGGGAGAUCGUGUGGCAGCCAUCUCGCGUCGCCACGAAAACACGACAGUCGUUCGUCAUGCCUUGGAUAUAACAACAAAUCCUCCACGGGGGAAUCUGCGACCACUGAAGUUACGUGCAGCACCAGUGCUAGUUAGAAACUUUGCCGCAGGCAUUCAGCUGCAUGCUGGAAGAGGUCAGUUGGGCGCGUUAUCUUGAACUUACUGAAAACGCAUGAGGAAUCCAUGUUUUAUGAUGAAAAAAGUAUAAACCCCAUAUAAGCGAUCUUGCGCGCGGCAGCUACAAGCGACGCGACGGAGAUGGCUGUCGCGUUCGCUCGUCGCCUACAAGUCGUACUCCGUGCGAGCGACGAUUUUGAGCGACGCCUCCCCGGUGUUGCCGGCAUGAGGGCUGCAGUCACGCGUGACGCGUGCUUUAGUAAUUUACGUUGAUGUAUUUUACUAUAAAAAGUACCAUAAAAUAUUUCCGGAGGUCUUGCAGUACGUUCUUAUCCUUGCACGUAUAAAAAUUGAAUCAUUUGCUCGUUCCGCGCGACAAUCGGUAGUAUUUGAGCGAUGUAUGUACAUCCAGUUCCGGCUUCGCGCUAUUGGCUAGCCGCUCAUAGCACUUCUGGGCGACGAGCGACGAUUUCUAGAUUUCCAGAACCGAGCCAUCUGUUCAAGCGACGGCCCGUUUUGUCGCUCGUCGCCGUCGCGCACUAAAUCGCUCUCACAGUGUUUAUCCCUAAGACUGAACUGUUUUUGCUCAUGUUGAAAUGGUGUGAUUAUAGGUCUGGUUUUGUCUCCUGUUGCGGUUUUCGUGCACGGUGCGAAACUGAAAGGAUGCUUAUGUCUACGAACUCGGUGAAUUGUCGAGCAGCUAGUUACGCAUCGGCAUCGAAUAUAACGGCUGCUGUGUGGAAUUACAAUUGCAGGGGCGCUUUGCAUACGCUUAUUGUUUUGGACAUGCCUGUGCAUUUGCUAAUAUGAGUUGGCGUGUCAGAGUUAUGUCAUAUGAACAGCCAAAUCAGCCUUCCUCUGGGUGUUACAAGCGUAAUGUGUGCAUUUUGCUAUAGCAUGGCAGAUUAUGAUGUGUUUAUCGCUUGAAUAUUUUUAGUAGAGAAAUAAAAUAUCAAAAUAAAAUGUUGCUUUAAUUCCGUGUUACCAUUCUGUCGUACACAGAAGAAUAGGAUGGUGUAAUAAACUAAUAACUGCGGUUUAACUGCAACUUUUACAUGCCUACAAGAAUCUAAAAUGCUAGAUUUCAAACUGCAGCAGUAGUCGGGUCUGUCAAAAAUGAACUCCACUGCGCACCUCAUGCAUGAAAAUAAGUUCAUGCCUUUUAGUAAGCUUAGAUGCAGGCCGCAGUGAACUUGUUAGUAUUGAAAUGUGGGUAAGCUUGCCAUAACAAGCCUUGUUGCCCUUUUUUAUAGGCACAUCCAUAUAUCCAUUGAGCUGAAGGACAAUAUUUUCAUCCCUACUGAGCAUCAUGUUUGCAGCUAUAAUCCUCAAAUUAUGGCUUCAGCAGUGGCACAACCAGGCAUGGUGUGGGGGGGUGGGGGGGCACACUGGGCACGUGCUUAGGAUGUGUCACAAGUGGUGUUUGCGAUACACCAGACUCAUGACAGACCUAUGACGUCUGAAAAUGACCAAUAUUCUAUUCAUUAGCAGGAGUAUUCUAAUAUUCAUGAAAAACAAGGAUGAACUGUGGUUUGUUUUUUUGCUUAAAUCUAAAAAUUGAAGUUAGUUUAGCAGUUGACUGUUGCAGUCAUUUGGAUGUUUUGCAUGCAUUUCACUAGGAAGACUAAGAGCUAAGACUUUUUUAUUGCCAUUGCCUUGACUGUCUUGAUGUUGUUUUGCACCAUGUCCUUGUGUUGACUUUUGCAUACGAUAUUUUUCAGGCACCCGCUUUAUAUAACGCAAGAAGGCAGCUGCAAGGACACGAGAAUGUGAAAGAGCCAGUGCAGCGCGACUUCACGUAGUGUAGAGGAGCCAAUGCCAAAAAAUCAAAAUACAUUGGCAUGUUAUUUGGACAAGAAAACUAGUAUGUGGGUAUAUUGGGUGUACCAUUUGACCAAAUGUCAACAAAAUCAAGAUACAGUAUGUUACACGAAGAUGAAAAUUCUCACGUGCUCCAGGCAGUCAUCUUAACAUGGUAUAUUUAUGUAAUGUCUCUGAUUGGAAAGUCAAAUCAAGUAUGCUCACUGGAGACAAACACAUAGCAGCAAGUGUCAUUGAAAAGUUAAAAAUGUGUUUUAAGAAAGCUGAUUAGUUCUGAGAAGUGACUGCUUUUUGUCUUGCCUCUCAACACAUAUAUCCAUGUGAUAAAAAAAUAGUGGUACAAUGAAAUUGCAUAUUUGCUUAGCGACAUGAUACAUACUUGCAAUGAGCACGGUGCCUGUGUUUACUAUAGAAAGCAACAGCCCAUGCUUGGUUAGGUUAGGCCCACUACAACAUGCAGGCAUGGGUGAUUGGCGCUUUUUUAUUUCUGUAUCGUGAGGUUUAUUGACGUGCGUAUAGGUGCAGUGGCACGCAGUAUGGCUAGUACAAAAAGGGGGGGGGGGGGGCAGAUAUAUGUAGCUCACUGUACACGAUACAGGGCAAAGGAAAUCCGUGUUCAGCAACUAUGUUAAAUGCCAUGUACGUAAAUUUUACAACGCUACUCGUUCGAAGCGCGCACAGGUGCAUAUUGAAGAAAAGUUUCCAGGGUAGAUAAUUUAGUUCGUAAUUUACACUAAUUUUGCUCUAACCACGAGACAUAAUAAUUUGAAUAUACUGCACGGAAAAACCUAGAGCGAAUUAAAUUGUGUGUCAGCUUCGUGUGUAUACAUAUAGUCUUCCCUAUGCAUUAGGUUUUUUGCGUAAUGCAUUAACAGUUGACAGCCUAUCUUAUGAUGUGUACUCUGUUUACAUUACAGUUGUUUAUUAGUUUACUCGUUUGUUUUGCGACUGAUGAAAUGCCGGCAUAUAUAUAUUUUCAACAUUUGACAUAACCCUGUAUGUUCUGCAGGGACAACCCAGGACGUGCAUUUCUCAGCACCCAGUCAACUGCCAAAAGUGACUCAAACACAGGCCACCAGAGACAAUGCCUACGAAAUUAUUGGCCCUGAUCAUGAGAGCCCUCAAGGGGCAAACAACAUCUCUGUUGCAGAAGUGAGCCCGGUACCACUUGGAAGUUACCAUGACAGAUGACACGGCAGCAAUAGAUACAGAGACUGCCACGUCUACUGCAGCUGCAACAGUGUACGAGGCAAGCAGCAGCGCGUCAGCAGCAGUGUCAGAAGGAACCACACCAGGCCUGGUAGAGCAACAUGUGUGCUAUCACUGACUUUUUUUGUAGUGGAUACAACUCAUUUGCUCAACAUACAAAAGCUUUUCACCACGACUGUGAGCCAGUGUUAUUGUGCAGCAAGUGCAAGACUAAGUUAAGUGUUAUAGCACAGUACAAGCAUCACUUUAACAUAUGAAAACAUAUUACAGUUGUUGCCUCCCCAGCCAGCCCACAUAGCCACAACAAUGUUGAACACAUGGUGGGACACACAUCUUCUCCAUUAGAAGAUAGUAGAGACUGUCAGUGUUGUUGUUAGAUUAACUGGUCUUUGUAGGCAACCAGGACAACACAGGUGUCAUAAGAUUGUUGUUGAUGUUGUUGAAGAGGUAAAAAAGAAGUUUGAUGCAGCUGAAGUGCCAACUGAUAUUGAGCAAAUCAAAAGCAACCACCUGAGAAAGCAACACUAUCAAAAUUUGGGUAUCUAUGUGCCGCCAACUCUGGUAAGAAUGGCAUAGGACAGAAGUGUGAUGAAAAUCACACAGACACUGCUGUUGCAUCACUGGCCACAGUGAGCAGCGACUUGUAGGGCAAGAGAGUCAACUGAAACUAACAUUAUGAUAUAGUGUCAUGCUCCCAUGUGACCACUUUUCAAGUUAUUUUGCAAGAUACAGCUCAACCUCCAGAAACGAGACUGCAAGUUGUCUGUAAAAAAGCUUUCACAAAAAAUUAUUCAUAACACCAUUAACAUAGCAGUAUCUUUUUUUUUGUGUCGGUUGGAGGUUCCCGGCUGUCCAUUAAUGCAAAAAUUGAGGAAAAAAAGAACAUGUGUCGUACUUACACCUUUUUAACAAGUACGAGGGGGACAGAACUUUUCUAGUCAUGCAUCUUCAUCAUACCAUCAAGUUUUUAAAUGCCUUUUAUAAUUAUUAUUACCAGUUAUAUCUGAGUGCAUUGUAUGCAUGUAGCAGGUGUAAAAUCAGGUCAGUUGGAUCAGAUGCCUUAUCUGUAAGCGAGCCCUAUAUUCAAGAAAUUUGAAAUAAAAUAGUUACGUUAGAGACGCAGUCUUUCAGCACUUUAUUGCCUGUGGUUUAAGCAUUGCUCAAUACUUUUGUGGGUGGCAAUUUCAACCGGCACAGCACUGCGCUUUGCCACAGUCACAUUUGUCUUCAAAGCGGUGUUUACCAUUUGUGUUGAUCUGUUUGUGUAUGCAUAGAGCAAGUUGUUAAUUUAUAUUUUUCUGCGUUCUUGUGCUUGCACUAAGCUUGUAUAAGGCAGUUACAAAAUGUGCGGCACUAUAACGAACUGUUCUGUUGAGCUUACACUUGCAAAUAAUCGUGUUCAGAUGGCCGCACUUCUAUGCGGGUGCACCGCUAGCUUUGUGUAUGUUCUCAUGUUUGUAUAAAGCUUAUAUAAGCUAGUUAGAAAAUGUAUGUCACUAAGCAUUGUGAUAUUCUUUAAAGAACUGCUUGGUUGGUUUUACACUUGUGAAUUAGUAUUGAGGCGGUGGUAUUCCCAUGUAUGCCCACUGCUAGCUUUCUGUGUCCUCACGUGUUUGUAUUAAGUUUCUACAAGGGAGUUACAGCAUGUACGUCACUAAGCGCUGUGAUAUUUUUUAAAGAACUGGUUUGUUGGUUUUACACCUGUGAGUAAUAGUACUCGUGUGGCACUAGUCAUGUGUAGGUACACAGGGACCAUUUCUAUACAUUAUGCUCAUGUAAAGCAGUUACAAAGUGUAUGUCACUAAUUACUGUGAUAUUUGUUGAAUUGCUGUGAUGGUUUUACACAUGUGAAUAAUAGUGGUCAGGACACAGUACUUGCGGUGUAUAGUUGAAUUUAUACACUGCCAAGACAUGGGCUGUAUACGUACCAAAAGAAAUGUAUGUCAUUAUAUUGUUGUGAUUAUUACUGUUUGGAUUUUAUUAAACUGUAAUAAAAUUGUUUCUUGUAUCUA